rnacentral:sRNA from 1 species
UCGAUGACGUUGUUCAAUAAUUUCUUCAC